GACAGAGGGUGCAAACGUUGUUCGGAUUUACUGGGCGUAAAGCGUGUGUAGGCGGCUUUGCAAGUCGGAUGUGAAAUCCCACGGCUCAACCGUGGAAGUGCAUCCGAAACGGCAUCGCUUGAGUCUCGGAGAGGAAGGUGGAAUGCUUGGUGUAGAGGUGAAAUUCGUAGAUAUCAAGCAGAACACCUGCGGCGAAGGCGGCCUUCUGGACGGAUGACUGACGCUGAGACACGAAAGCGUGGGGAGCAAACAGG
rnacentral:rRNA from 1 species